rnacentral:rRNA from 1 species
CCAUGAGGGUACGUAUACAGUCGAGCGGAUGACGGGAGCUUGCUCCUUGAUUCAGCGGCGGACGGGUGAGUAAUGCCUAGGAAUCUGCCUGGUAGUGGGGGACAACGUUUCGAAAGGAACGCUAAUACCGCAUACGUCCUACGGGAGAAAGCAGGGGACCUUCGGGCCUUGCGCUAUCAGAUGAGCCUAGGUCGGAUUAGCUAGUUGGUGAGGUAAUGGCUCACCAAGGCGACGAUCCGUAACUGGUCUGAGAGGAUGAUCAGUCACACUGGAACUGAGACACGGUCCAGACUCCUACGGGAGGCAGCAGUGGGGAAUAUUGGACAAUGGGCGAAAGCCUGAUCCAGCCAUGCCGCGUGUGUGAAGAAGGUCUUCGGAUUGUAAAGCACUUUAAGUUGGGAGGAAGGGCAGUAAGUUAAUACCUUGCUGUUUUGACGUUACCGACAGAAUAAGCACCGGCUAACUCUGUGCCAGCAGCCGCGGUAAUACAGAGGGUGCAAGCGUUAAUCGGAAUUACUGGGCGUAAAGCGCGCGUAGGUGGUUCGUUAAGUUGGAUGUGAAAGCCCCGGGCUCAACCUGGGAACUGCAUCCAAAACUGGCGAGCUAGAGUACGGUAGAGGGUGGUGGAAUUUCCUGUGUAGCGGUGAAAUGCGUAGAUAUAGGAAGGAACACCAGUGGCGAAGGCGACCACCUGGACUGAUACUGACACUGAGGUGCGAAAGCGUGGGGAGCAAACAGGAUUAGAUAC